GCGUCCCACAUGCCACAACCACAAGGACCCACGACUAAAAUAUACAACUAUGUAUCGGGGGGAUUUGGGGAGAAAAAGCAAAAAAAAAACCUUUCACAGUCUCUUACAAAUCUAUAUCCUCUCUGCUGUCACCACUUAAGUGAAUCUUUUGGCUUCAGGAAAUUUAGGGGUGUUUAAGAUGCUCACUUUUUACAGUAGUAAAACAUCUCUACAAACAAGCAAAAAGCUCACCAAAAUUAGAAGAUGCCAUCAAACUCACAAAACGAUCAGGUAAUUUUGAGUAACUUCAGGGCUUCAUGCAGCAGAAGAUGUGUUUAUAUCCGCAAACAUUCCAUAUCCCUGUUUCAAGAUGUUUAUUUAAAAAGUGAUCGUAAGUAAACCUUGACUUUUUACAACUUUGUGAUAUUUAUCCCCUUUCUUACCCUUAGCAAAUAUAUCACCUUGAUGUCAGAGAGUUAAUAGUAUCCUGCGCAUUUUAAAAACUAGUGACUAUUUCAUUUUAGACUCAAGGUCCAAAGACAAUUGGAUCUACCUCUGAAUAAGAGAGUAACAUUCCAUAGAAGGCUGGCUUGCUUUUCAUUGUCUUAUUCAGAAACCACGAAUAAGACAUUGCAUUCAAACAAAAUGAAAUUAAGAAUGACUUUUAUGAAAGAGCAUAACAUUUUUAACAGUGGCCUUUUUGACUUAGGAAGCUUUGACUGAGGGUUUGAACGCUUUGUUAAGCACAUUAACUUUUUCUGUGGGACUACUCUAUUGUUAGCUUCCUACAUUUGUCCCAGUGAUAAUAGCAAGCACAAGGACAACUACUUUUUCCUCUGUUCAAGUCACCGUUCUAAGUCCUUUGCAUGUAAUGCCCUGGAUUCUCUGAACAAUCUUAUGCAUUAGUUAUCAUCAUCUCCAUUUUACAAUUGAAGAAACUGAAGCACAAAGAAUAAUUAACUUGCCCGAGAUCAAGAGCUUAGGAAGAGAUGAAACAGGGGUUUCAGCUUUGCACAAACUAACGUUCCUAAAUGUACAAGGAGCACAAAAGGAGCCCGUCCAUGAAGCACCACCUGUGGAUGUCCUUCAGCUGAAAAUACCAGCCAGGUUGAAACAGCAAAAACCUAAUUAAUUGAUGACUGGUAGGGUCAAUAUCUUUCUAUGUCCAACUGGAGAACUGAAAAGAUCUCUCUUAUAGUUAGUCUCUGUGAAUUUGUGGUAAAGAAGGACCAAAUUCCAAAAGCAGAGCAGGGUACCUUUUGAAAUAUAAGAAGGAAAUUUUAGAAUCACUUUCUAGUGGUACCUCUUAUGGCUGAAAAGUGAUCUCCGUUAGAAAGCGACUUUAAAAAAAUCAGCAACAGUUUAACUGCAGCUUAGUAAAUGGUCAAAGAUGAUGGAUUUUCUGCUCUGUUAGUAUGGAGUGGGGCGUGGUGAAUGUUUGCUAAGCAGAUUGGCACUUUACAUGUGGCAUGGCAGGUUAGGUUAGGAAUUAUGUCCUUUCUAUAAAUUAGGAAGCUGAGGCUCAAAAUGUGUUAAAAGUCACGCAGCUACUAGGUGGUAAUGUUGGGGACUCAUCUCCUGGUCUAUCUGGUGAAAAACACUCUCACUCUUUCCACUGUCCUCUACUUUGAAUCCCAAAACAGUAGCUCUAAACACAAAUAAGAAUAGAUAUCACUGUCCAAGAUGAGUUUCAGUUGCCAGCUUAUCUAUUGAGAUAGACAUUUUGGCUUUGGAAAAGAAAAUUACUGGUUAGUCUUUCACCUUCAUUUCAAUUUCUUCUCUUUCAGUUUAUACAUGAGAUGAUUACCUUAAAAUUUUAAUGUUUGCAAACUGAUCAAAUCUGAUGAUCUCAGAUUAGCUAUAGUAUUUUCUGAACAAACAAGGGGUAGGAAGGGUGGGAAAAUAACCCGACCUGGUUCUUGAGAUCAGAGAUGCUUAAAGGCAUGUGUGAAAAUCCCCCGGGGGAAAAUAUUCACUAUUUUUUACCGUUUCAGCUCAGUUUCUGUUGCCUAAUCAUUUUCUUAUCGCCAAAGAUUGCAUAUUUACACAGGUGCUUCUCUGAUUUAAUUGUUUGGAAGCAGUCACUGGAAGCAAAGCUGUGUGACUCAGCUUUGGUGAUGCGGUCCAGCUGGGGUCUGACAGAUAUGCCAUGAAGUAGGCAAGAUCAAACUAAAUGCGUCAAAGAAUUCACCUAUGGAAAUCUUUGCAAGAAAUAAUCCAUCAACCUGUGCGAUAGUCAGGCUCUUAAAGCCAGGGUGACUCGCUGCAUACAAAACCACAACUGAUGUCGAAUUCAAAUCAGCCUAAUACCAGGUACUCUCAAACAAUGAAAGAAAUGGAAGAUAAGGAGAAUUUGAUUCAGAAUUAACUGAGGAAAUAGAUGUUCUCGUAUUAAGAACUGUUCCUCGUUAUCACCAUCAAAAUAUUCUUGUCAUCAAGGAAGAUGACACAGGAGCCUGAAUAGGAUUGAUAUAUGAAGCUUUAAAGCAACAUUUGCCUUGAUUUUUAGUUUAAGGUCAUCAUGCCUCUUUCUGCUGCAAAGAUUAGUUUCUAGAGGGAACUUAUUCAUCAAUGUCCAGUACCAAUUACAUUGCCAGUGUAACCCCCAUGGAGAAGAAGAAAGCUCCUAUCUGAAAUGAUAAGGUGGCCUACUGAGGCAAAAUGGACUCAGAGACAGACAAACCUGGAUUGAAAUCCUUGCUCCACCACUUUCUAGCCGUGUGUCUUUGGCAGGUUGAGAAACUUCUUGGAGCCUGGAGCCUGAACUUCCUCAUUUAUAAUGGGAAUAAUAACCAGUACUCUGAAGAUGUACCGUAAAAAUGAGAGGUAACAUGUAAUAUGCCUAGGACACAGCUUGAUAAGAGAAGGCAUUCCACAGACAAUAACCAUGAUAAUUGAGGGGCCUUCGAGUGAAUUGGUUUCCUUGAGCUGGAUCACAAAUGCCACCAUUCCCUCAAGACACGGGUCUGUUAAAAGUGAGUUUAUGAACCUGCAAAGCUGUGCAUUCUUUUACAGACACCCCUGAGACUCAGCCAAAAAUAGGCUGCCACUUUCAAGAAUCUCCACUGUAGUACAAAGCCUUCCUUAGAGUUUAGUAGCAGGCAUUGUUCUAAGCAGGAAUUUUCAACAUUCUUAUUGCCCAAAACCCCAUGACACUGUGUUUCGAGACUCUUGUAUAUCAAACAGAUGAUACUUAUUAAAUAAUAAACUUAUUUUCCCACUCUUUAUUACUUUAAGGCAUAAAUAAUUUUCUCACAUAGGUUUUGAAUUGACAUCAUUCAUUCAUCAAUAAGUAUCUGUGGACUACAAUGUGUUACAUGCUGGGAUUACAGUGUGGGCCAGGACUUGAUCCUUGCUCACAGUUUGAUGAGGAGACACACAAGUAAAGGACUGAAGAAUGGUGAGAGAUAGUCAAAGAAGAAGACAUAGGAAGAAUGCUUUGGGUAAAGGGAACAACACAUGCAAGGCUUCAAGG